AUUGAACGUUGGCGGCAGGCCUAACACAUGCAAGUCGAGCGGAUGAAGGGAGCUUGCUCCUGGAUUCAGCGGCGGACGGGUGAGUAAUGCCUAGGAAUCUGCCUGGUAGUGGGGGAUAACGUCCGGAAACGGGCGCUAAUACCGCAUACGUCCUGAGGGAGAAAGUGGGGGAUCUUCGGACCUCACGCUAUCAGAUGAGCCUAGGUCGGAUUAGCUAGUUGGUGGGGUAAAGGCCUACCAAGGCGACGAUCCGUAACUGGUCUGAGAGGAUGAUCAGCCACAUGGGAGCGGAGACGGGGACAAGGCGACUAAGAGACGCAGCAGACGGGAAUGGUGGGCAAUAGGGGAAAGUCUGAUACAGCGAGGCGGCGUGUGUGAAGAAGGUGUUGGGAGUGUAAAGCACGUUAAGGGGGGAGGAAGGGCAGUAAGUUGAGACGUAGCGGGAUUGACGUUACCAGGAGAAUAAGCACCGGCUAACUACGUG
rnacentral:rRNA from 1 species